rnacentral:rRNA from 1 species
GAGAGAGACAGGCCAUGGAAGGGAUCGGCAACACCUUGUGAUGACACUGAUAAACAACUGUUUAGCAGCUACACGAAGAUAAUGCUGGGCGAUGGAAACAUCGCAAGCUUCUGGAGAGACCGUUGGCUCAACGGGGAGGCCCCAAGUGAUAAGGCACCAGCCCUGUUCAAGCUCGCAAGAUUCAAAAAGAUAACUGUCAAGGAAGGACUGCGGGAUGGAAGAUGGAUGCAGGGGCUGCAAAGAAUGAACAACAUCGACCAGCUCACACAGUUCGUGCAACUAUGGGAGGAGGUGAACCAAAUUUCAUUGAGAUCGGAGGCAGAUGCUGAUGUCUGGAGCCUGUCUGCAAAUGGUUUGUACGCUGCGCGCUCAGCAUAUGCGGCGCAAUUCCUCGCAAGGAUUGAGAAGCCAGGGCUAGCCAGAGUCUGGCGAUGUAAAAUGGAAGGAAAAGUUAAGUUUUAUAUCUGGUUGCUACUUCAGAACAGAAACUGGACUGCGGAUCGACUUCAAGCUCGAGGAUGGCCCCACAACGAUAAGUGCAAAUUAUGUGACCAGGAGCCUGAAACUGCGGAUCACAUCGCAUUGUUGUGCUCUUACUCAAAAGAGGUUUGGUACCAGUUCCGACAACCAAAUGCUGCGUUGGGAGACAUUACUGCUACUGCCCAAUCCAUCGGGGAAUGCUGGGACAGACUAUGCACCACCAACCGGCCAAAAGAGACUGUAAACGAGGAGAUCACGCUGGCGGCAUACAUACUGUGCAACUUAUGGAAGGAGCGGAACAGAAGAAUCUUCGAGCUCAAGGAACUAUCGGCGUUUGCCCUUGCAGGCCUAAUUCAAGAGGACGUUAGAUGUUUCAAGGAAGCCGGGAGAAACAGGGUGUGA